GUUCCUGUAGCGCAAUGGAGAAUGCGCUGGACUUCUAAUCCAAAGGUCGUGGGUUCGAGUCCCACCUGGAAUG